rnacentral:rRNA from 1 species
AUACGUAGGGGGCGAGCGUUGUCCGGAAUGAUUGGGCGUAAAGGGCGCGUAGGCGGCGCGGUAAGUCUGGAGUGAAAGUCCUGCUUUCAAGGUGGGAAUUGCUUUGGAUACUGCCGCGCUUGAGUGCAGGAGAGGUUAUCGGAAUUCCCGGUGUAGCGGUGAAAUGCGUAGAGAUUGGGAGGAACACCAGUGGCGAAGGCGACUUACUGGGCCGUAACUGACGCUGAGGCGCGAAAGCGUGGGGAGCGAACAGGAUUAGAUACCCUGGUAGUCCACGCGGUAAACGAUGAAUGCUAGGUGUUGCGGGUAUCGACCCCUGCAGUGCCGGAGUAAACACAAUAAGCAUUCCGCCUGGGGAGUACGGCCGCAAGGUUGAAACUCAAAUGAAUUGACGGGG